GGCAGAAUAGUUUAGUUGGUAGAACAGUGAAAUCAUAAUUCAUAAAGGAGGGUUCGAACCCCUCUUCUGCCU